rnacentral:rRNA from 1 species
GAUGAACGCCGGCGGCGUGCCUAAUACAUGCAAGUCGAGCGGUAAGGCCCCUUCGGGGGUACACGAGCGGCGGACGGCUGAGUAACACGUAGGAACGUACCCCAAAGUGAGGGAUAAGCACCAGAAAUGGUGUCUAAUACCGCAUGUGCUCUAAGGAGUAAAGCUUCGGCGCUUUGGGAACGGCCUGCGCAUGAUUAGCUUGUUGGUGAGGUAAUGGCUCACCAAGGCGACGAUCAUUAGCUGGUCUGAGAGGAUGAUCAGCCAGACUGGGACUGAGACACGGCCCAGACUCCUACGGGAGGCAGCAGUAGGGAAUUUUCCACAAUGGGGGCAACCCUGAUGGAGCAACGCCGCGUGCAGGAUGAAGGCCUUCGGGUCGUAAACUGCUUUUAUAUGUGACGAAUAUGACGGUAGCAUAUGAAUAAGGAUCGGCUAACACCGUGCCAGCAGCCGCAGUAA